rnacentral:rRNA from 1 species
GAUGAACGCUGGCGGCGUGCCUAAUACAUGCAAGUCGAGCGAACAGACGAGGAGCUUGCUCCUCUGACGUUAGCGGCGGACGGGUGAGUAACACGUGGAUAACCUACCUAUAAGACUGGGAUAACUUCGGGAAACCGGAGCUAAUACCGGAUAAUAUAUUGAACCGCAUGGUGCAAUAGUGAAAGACGGUUUUGCUGUCACUUAUAGAUGGAUCCGCGCCGCAUUAGCUAGUUGGUAAGGUAACGGCUUACCAAGGCAACGAUGCGUAGCCGACCUGAGAGGGUGAUCGGCCACACUGGAACUGAGACACGGUCCAGACUCCUACGGGAGGCAGCAGUGGGGAAUCUUCCGCAAUGGGCGAAAGCUUGACGGAGCAACGCCGCGUGAGUGAUGAAGGUCUUCGGAUCGUAAAACUCUGUUAUUAGGGAAGAACAAAUGUGUAAGUAACUAUGCACGUCUUGACGGUACCUAAUCAGAAAGCUACGGCUAACUACGUG